GACGAACGCUGGCGGCGUGCUUAACACAUGCAAGUCGAACGGUAAGGCCCUUCGGGGUACACGAGUGGCGAACGGGUGAGUAACACGUGGGUGAUCUGCCCUGCACUUCGGGAUAAGCCUGGGAAACUGGGUCUAAUACCGGAUAGGACUCCUGCUACAUGGUUGGGGGUGGAAAGCUUUUGCGGGGUGGGAUGGGCCCGCGGCCUAUCAGGUUGUUGGUGGGGUAAUGGCCUACCAAGGCGACGGCGGGUAGCCGGCCUGAGAGGGUGACCGGUCACACUGGGACUGAGAUACGGCCCAGACUCCUACGGGAGGCAGCAGUGGGGAAUAUUGCACAAUGGGCGCAAGCCUGAUGCAGCGACGCCGCGUGAGGGAUGACGGCCUUCGGGUUGUAAACCUCUUUCAGCUAUGACGAAGCGCAAGUGACGGUAGUAGCAGAAGAAGGACCGGCCAACUACGUGUCAGCCGCCGCUGUAA
rnacentral:rRNA from 1 species